rnacentral:lncRNA from 1 species
AACUUUCUUUCCAUCCACGUGUAUAAUGAUUAAUGUGAAGAUCUGAAGAGUUGUAGAACUUCAUUUUGGGUGGAGGAUCCAUGCUGACAGCAAUACGGAAACCGAGGGUGCUAUUUAGAAGCAGUAAACAAGGAACUGCCAGCAACAGUGUAACUUGAUAAGAAUGAA